rnacentral:rRNA from 1 species
GGCAUGGAUUAGGCAUGCAAGUCGAGCGAUACCUUUUCUUGAGAAAAAAUGCAGUAGCAAUACUGCAGGUUUUCGAAGGAUUUGGAUAUAGCGGCAGAAGGGUGAGUAACACGUGAGUAACUUACCCCUAAUAGAAGGAUAGCUUCGCGAAAGUGGAGGUAAUACUUCGUGUGUCUCGUUUUCAUAAGGAGACGAGGUAGAGGCGCCCGCAAGGGUGUCGAUUAGGGAUGGACUCGCGUUCUAUCAGCUAGUUGGUAGGGUAAUGGCCUACCAAGGCGAUGACGGAUAGCUGGUCAAGAGGAUGGUCAGCCACAUUGGGACUGAGACACUGCCCAGACUCCUACGGGAGGCUGCAGUCGAGAAUCUUUAGCAAUGGGCGAAAGCCUGACUAUGCGACGUCGCGUGGAGGAUGAAUGCCUUCGGGUUGUAAACUCCUUUCGAUUAGGAAGAAAAAGUUCGUCCUAAUACGGCGAAAAUUGACGUUACUGAUGGAAGAAGCCACGGCCAACUCCGUGCCAGCAGCCGCGGUAAUACGGAGGUAGCGAGCGUUACUCGGAUUCAUUGGGUGUAAAGGGCAGGUAGGUGUCUUAGCAAGUUUCAGGUGAAAUCCUUCAACUCAAUUGAAGAAGUGCCUGAAAAACUGUUAGGAUUGAGGUUGGCAGAAGAGAGCGGAACUCCCGGUGUAAGAGUGAAAUCUGUAGAGAUCGGGAGGAACACCGGUGGCGAAGGCGGCUCUCUAGGUCAAACCCGACACUGAACUGCGAAAGCUAGGGUAGCGAACAGGAUUAGAUACCCUGGUAGUCCUAGCCGUAAACGAUGUACACUAGGUGUUUUACUAUUAAGUAGAGUGCCGCAGUUAACACAUUAAGUGUACCACCUGGGGACUACGGCCGCAAGGCUAAAACUCAAAGGAAUAGACGGGGGCUCACACAAGCGGUGG